UCACUUCGGUGAAGAGAGAGAAGUGACUUAGUGGCGGACGGGUGAGUAACGCGUGGGUAACCUGCCUUAUACAGGGGGAUAACAGCUGGAAACGGCUGCUAAGACCGCAUAAGCGCACAGAGUCGCAUGACUUGGUGUGAAAAUAUUUAUAGGUAUAAGAUGGACCCGCGUCUGAUUAGCUAGUUGGUGAGGUAACGGCUCACCAAGGCGACGAUCAGUAGCCGGCUUGAGAAAGUGAACGGCCACAUUGGGACUGAGACACGGCCCAAACUCCUACGGGAGGCAGCAGUGGGGAAUAUUGCACAAUGGGGGAAACCCUGAUGCAGCGACGCCGCGUGAGUGAAGAAGUAUUUCGGUAUGUAAAGCUCUAUCAGCAGGGACGAUAAUGACGGUACCUGACUAAGAAGCCCCGGCUAACUACGUGCCAGCAGCCGCGGUAAUACGUAGGGGGCAAGCGUUAUCCGGAUUUACUGGGUGUAAAGGGAGCGUAGGUGGUUUAAUAAGUCAGAUGUGAAAGCCCGUGGCUCAACUGCGGGACUGCAUUUGAAACUAUUGAACUGGAGUGCAGGAGAGGUAAGUGGAAUUCCUAGUGUAGCGGUGAAAUGCGUAGAUAUUAGGAGGAACACCAGUGGCGAAGGCGGCUUACUGGACUGUAACUGACACUGAGGCUCGAAAGCGUGGGGAGCAAACAGGAUUAGAUACCCUGGUAGUCCACGCGGUAAACGAUGAAUACUAGGUGUCGGGGCCC
rnacentral:rRNA from 1 species